rnacentral:rRNA from 1 species
GAGUUUGAUCGUGGCUCAGGAUGAACGCUAGCGGCAGGCUUAAUACAUGCAAGUCGUGGGGCAGCAUGAGUAGCAAUACUUGAUGGCGACCGGCAAACGGGUGCGGAACACGUACACAACCUUCCUACAAGUGGGGAAUAGCCCAGAGAAAUUUGGAUUAAUACCCCGUAACAUAACGAUGUGGCAUCACAUUGUUAUUAUAGCUUCGGCGCUUGUUGAUGGGUGUGCGGCUGAUUAGAUAGUUGGCGGGGUAACGGCCCACCAAGUCUACGAUCAGUAGCUGAUGUGAGAGCAUGAUCAGCCACACGGGCACUGAGACACGGGCCCGACUCCUACGGGAGGCAGCAGUAAGGAAUAUUGGUCAAUGGGCGAAAGCCUGAACCAGCCAUGCCGCGUGAAGGAUUAAGGUCCUCUGGAUUGUAAACUUCUUUUAUCUGGGACGAAAAAGGCGAUUCUUCGUCACUUGACGGUACCAGAUGAAUAAGCACCGGCUAACUCCGUGCC